rnacentral:rRNA from 1 species
AACGAACGCUGGCGGCGCGCCUAAUACAUGCAAGUCGAGCGAGAAGACGUAGCAAUACGUUUGUAAAGCGGCGAACGGGUGAGGAAUACAUGGGUAACCUACCCUCGAGUGGGGAAUAACUAGCCGAAAGGUUAGCUAAUACCGCGCACGCUCCUUGGACUUCGGUUCAGGGAGGAAAGCGAUACCGUGGGUAUCGCGCUCUUGGAUGGGCUCAUGUCCUAUCAGCUUGNGGUGAGGUAACGGCUCACCAAGGCUUCGACGGGUAGCUGGUCUGAGAGGACAAUCAGCCACACUGGCACUGCGACACGGGCCAGACUCCUACGGGAGGCAGCAGUAAGG